AUGAACGCUGGCGGCGUGUCUAAGGCAUGCAAGUCGAACGGAUUCUAUUAGUAGCAAUACUAAGACAAGUUAGUGGCAAACGGGAGCGUAACACAUUGGUAACCUGCCUUGAGGUUCGGUACAACCUGUCGAAAGAUGGGCUAAUUCCGGAUGUGAUCCAAUAGCACAUGUUGUUGGAUGAAAGCAGUAAUGCGCCUUAAGAGGGACCUAUGCUUCAUCAGCUUGUUGGUAGGGUAACGGCCUACCAAGGCUACGACGAAUAGCGGGUGUGGGAGCACGACCCGCCUCACAGGGACUGAGACACUGCCCUGACACCUACGGGUGGCUGCAGUCGAGAAUCUUCCCCAAUGGACGAAAGUCUGAGGGAGCGACGCCGCGUGCAGGAAGAAGCUCUUCGGGGCGUAAACUGCUUUUAUAUGGGAACAAGUUCUGAGGGUACCAUAUGAAUAAGGACCUGCUAAACUCGU
rnacentral:rRNA from 1 species